rnacentral:sRNA from 1 species
AUUGACAUUCAACUUCCAUAUACAUAUUUUAUUUAUUUUUGGCAGACAACGUGCGUUUAAAUGUUACGUUCUAUGCUCGCAUCUAUGUGUAUUGCGCAUUUAGCGUUGUCCCAAGUGUUGCGUAUUUUGAGUUUGUAUUUGCUCACGUCUUUAAUGACAGUUUAAUAUACAUAAUUAUGAAAUCAGCUGGAAACAACACAUUGCGGUUUCAUCGUGAAAUACGUCAUGCACUUUAUGCAGAAUUAAAUUACAUUUCUAGUGCCCUUGUGCAAAGGAUUUGAUUAUUGCUCGUUCGUGGGGCAACAGGCGACGUGUUGAGGUGGACGUGAUACAUGGCUGCACAAAACGGCUGAAGUGCCUGUCCUCCUCGUCACAUCUCUGACAACAACAAGUGAUAAAUAAACGCUGUCCAACUUGCAAUUGUAAAUAACAUGUGUAUGAAUGAGUGUACAGACGCAUUACGGCAAAACGGAAAACGCCCAGGGCGAUAGCCAUAAAGUGUUGCAUAUGACGAAAAAGGCUCCACCGUAGGAAAAGCAACAACAACAACGACAAUAGCAGCAGCAAUAGACAGUGUUGCCAAGUGUCGCAAACUGUAACAAUAAGUCGAAUAAAAAACGUAACGUCCUUGGUAACGGCAAACGUCAAAACUGGAACAGGCAUAAAAAGAACAAUAGGAAGAGACAAAAAGGACGGCAAAGACGCGCACGGCGCAUACAGCGUGAAAAAGCAAGGUGUGCUAAAAAAUAUGGCAGCAGCAGCACCAACAUCGCCCACAACAGCAGCAGUAG